UACGGAGGGGGCUAGCGUUGUUCGGAAUUACUGGGCGUAAAGCGCGCGUAGGCGGGCAUUUAAGUCGGGGGUGAAAUCCCGGGGCUCAACCCCGGAACUGCCUCCGAUACUGGGUGCCUAGAGGUCGAGAGAGGUGAGUGGAAUGGCGAGUGUAGAGGUGAAAUUCGUAGAUAUUCGCCGGAACACCAGUGGCGAAGGCGGCUCACUGGCUCGAUACUGACGCUGAGGUGCGAAAGCGUGGGGAGCAAACAGG
rnacentral:rRNA from 1 species